AUUGAACGCUGGCGGCAUGCCUUACACAUGCAAGUCGAACGGUAGAGGGGGCAACCUCUCGAGAGUGGCGAACGGGUGAGUAAAGCAUCGGAACGUGCCCAGUAGUGGGGGAGAGCCCGGCGAAAGCCGGAUUAAUACCGCAUGAGACCUACGGGGGAAAGGGGGGGAUCGCAAGCCCUCUCGCUAUUGGCGCGGCCGAUGUCAGAUUAGGGAGUUGACGGGGUAAAGGCCUACCAAGCCGACGGUCUGUAGCUGGUCUGAGAGGACGACCAGCCACACUGGGACUGAGACACGGCCCAGACUCCUACGGGAGGCAGCAGUGGGGAAUUUUGGACAAUGGGCGAAAGCCUGAUCCAGCCAUGCCGCGUGCGGGAAGAAGGCCUUCGGGUUGUAAACCGCUUUUGUCAGGGAAGAAAUCCUUUGAGUUAAUACCUCGGGGGGAUGACGGUACCUGAAGAAUAAGCACCGGCUAACUACGUGCCAGCCGCCGCAGUAA
rnacentral:rRNA from 1 species